rnacentral:misc_RNA from 1 species
UUUGCAGUUCUUUCUGGGCAAGCUGAAAACAAAGACAGAAAGGUCAUAGGACCAUAAUAAGGAUAAAUAAGAUAAAAUAAACUUAUUAUGACUUAUGAUGGCCUUUAACCCAUAAUCACUACUUGUAGCCAGUAUCUGAACUCAGUCCUUCCUCUUAUUUUCGGAAAAAAGGACCCCACUCGACCAGAAGAUGAUAAUUUGGUUGCUACAAACUAAUAGAUGUGAAGAAAUGAGAAAUAAAGCACCUAAAUUUGAUAAUGUCAAAAAUACAUCAACAAGACUAGAAGAUUCAUAAAUUCUACGUGCCUAGAUGAUAAUGCAAGUAGACAAACAAAUAAGCUGUGCGCCACAAGUAGACCAAUUGAAGUAAAAGAAUGUGAUGUGAUAUAUUAAAUUACAAGGUAUACUUGGCAAGGGGUCAUCUAUAGAAGUUUCACAUAAAACAUAUAUAUUUCUUAAAUUAACAUAACCUUCUAAAGCUGUUGCUUUUAUGUUUAGCCAUUUAUAAGUCAUAACUGCUUGAGCUGCAUCAAAUUUUCAAACAAAUUUAAGGGCCUCCUCAAGAAUAUCUUUAUACGAAGCAGAGGAAGAAGUAUUCUGCAUGGGCAACCAAUAUCACUUAAAAUGUGAAUACUUUGACUUACCAGCCAUGAUGUUUCAUUUUGAAA